AUGGAUCUUGACUACGCACUUAGGGAGAAGGCUCCAGUUCCCUUGUCCUCUGAUGAUGAAAACCUUGCUGAGAGAACUAAGGUUUAUGAGGCUAACAAGGAGAAGUGGGAGCGCUCCAAUCGAUUGUCCCUCAUGAUCAUGAAAAGCACAAUUACUCUUGGGAUUAGGGGAGCUAUCCCCGAUUCCGAAUGUGCUAAGACUUAUCUGGCAUCGGUGGAGGAACAUUUUAAAGGCUCCACAAAAGUCUAUGCCAGUACAUUGAUCAUGAAAAAUGCUCACCACUAA
rnacentral:rRNA from 1 species